rnacentral:sRNA from 1 species
GCCGGGUGUGGUGGCGCAUACCUGUAAUCCCAGUGGCUCAGGAGGCUGAGGCAGGAGGAUCUCGAGUUUAAAGGCAGCCUCAGCAAAAUAUAUCAAGGCCUUAGGCAAUUCAGUAAGAACCUGUCUCUA